rnacentral:lncRNA from 1 species
ACCGUGAAAUGUGGAGAAAUGGGCGAAACUAAGUGUUGCUAUUUUAUACUUAUUUUUCUGUGAUUUCAAAUAUCAAGCUGAACUUCGCAUCUUAUAUGUAUGCUGUCAUUCCAACAAGUUGGUUUAGCGCUCAGUCACUGUUCAUCAUGAUCCUCAGGAUAUCAAAAGCCUAAAACCCAUGUUUGAAGCCCACACAUAGUGGAAUACAAAUGUUCCAAGAUAGGCACUCUUGCUCAUGAACCACAGGAUCCUUUUGGAAUCUUGCAAUUUUGGUGGUUUAACCUGCAGCAGCUUGUCUUUUUUUAUGGCUGUUUCUACUUCUGUUUAGAAGGCAACUCAGCCGAGGGAUAGAGUUUCAGUGACAUGAAGAGUGUGGAAAGAAUAACAUACCUGCCAUGUGUUUGUAAACAUACCAGAUCUGCUGGAUGAAAAUCAAAUUAUGCCUUACUAUAUUCAUCACUCAAAUGAUAUUGAAAUUUAUCUCAACACGAGAAGUAAUGCUGUUGGUUGCUGUGAAUGCCAUUU